AGCGUUAUUUGGUUUGUCGCGACGUAUGUAUACGUUUUCUCUUUCACGUGAAGGAGCAAAUAACCGUACACGUGUUUUUGUCUUUGUCGUGACCUAAAAAACAGGGGCCGUGUGUGGGAGUGAGAAGCUGGUGAAAGGGAUGAUGGAUCUGCGUGGCGGAUCUCUGAUGCUGCUAGGUCCCACAAUGAACGCCAAGGUGGCUUUCGAGCUCUCCGAGCGAAUACCUCACUUGGGCCUACGCAUGAGGGAGCACAGCCGCAGAGCCCAAGUAUAUGCUGAGAGAAUGAGGGAGUUGGGGUUGAAAGUCAUAUAUCCAGGGCUCGAGACCCACCCGCAGCACAGGCUAUUCAAAGGGAUGGUGAACAGAGACUACGGAUACGGAGG
rnacentral:lncRNA from 1 species